AAGAGAAAAUUUUCAUAAUAAUAUCAUAUUAUUAUUAUGUGCAUAUUUUAAGUAAAUUACUUAUUAUAUGCUAAGCAUGACAUGAAAUUGCAUUAUAUUUUGUAAAAAAAAUAUUUAUGAUUUAAUUGGUUUUAUUUAUAAUUCCAAUUAUUAAAGAAAGAUGAGUAAGAAUAUUGUUGGUGUUCUUAACUCAAGAGAAAUGUUUUCAAUUAUUUAUUUAUUAAAUUUUGAAAACCCGGCUAAGUGAAUCAUAGAAUAUUAAGCACUACACCAUGACUUAAGAUUAGAUUCAUGAGACCUAUUAAGAAUAGAAUUUCUUGUAGGCUUUGUGACCAGGGGGAUUAGCGCUGCUUUCCCAAGACAGGUUUAUAUGUGAUUAUGAUCUUCAGGCUUUGCCUAACCAGGUGGGCUUACUUUCCAAAUGUACAAAGUAUGAUUGAGUUAUUAAGCUCUAAAUGUUUCAAUGAAAUGCAAAUUGUUUAUUUAAUGUAAUGAAAACUGUUUAUCCAAUAAAAUGUUUAUGUGCACUCUGCUCUGUUUAAGGCUCGCACAGUUAAUCAAUUGAGGUUCUCUUAUGACCUAAUACGUUGUUUGAGGAUUGUGUACACUUGUUAGUUGACUCGGUGGGUUGAUCUCCAUCGGGCUCUAACCAGAGGCGUUAUAAGGGUGCUCGGCUGGAUGUGUUCCGGAGCAUGAGAAAUAUCAGGCCUGCCUGGGUAGCGUCCCGAGGUCAAAGUAAACUUGUCUGGGUUACGCCCUCAGUUCAAGUAAGCAGGAGACAGAGAUCCGUCGGUGGCUAAAAGGUCCGGGAUCACAGCGAGUAACAGAAAGGGAGUGUGACAUGUGCGCACAAAUGAAAGAAAAUGUUUUAACAUGCUUAGAAGUACUUCUUUCAUUUUAAAACCUUCUAAGUUAUGUCAGGUUGGCUGGCCGGUGCUGACGGGACGGAGCUGAGGCUAGCGAUAAAUUCCUAUGUUAGACUUCCGCUGUAGCAAUUACUCAUAUCAGUCUUUUUGUUUUCCCAACUUAAGAUCUUCAUGUUAAAUUUCAAAUAAUAUAUUUGACCGAGCUUAGACUUUUCACUACUAAAUUUAUGCCAAUGAAUGUCGGUUGUCAGGAGCAUGAAACAAAACUUGUGAUCCAAAGGGGCAUAGCCCGACUUUCUAUCCUAUUUCGGGUUUUUACAAGGUUGUUCCUUGUUUAUUUCUAUGAAUUAGUUGCACCUCCAUUAUAUUUAUUCAUUCAAG